AAUGAACGUUGGCGGCGUGGAUUAGGCAUGCAAGUCGUGCGGAAAGGCUCCUUCGGGAGUACUCGAGCGGCGUAAGGGAGAGUAACGCGUGGCUAUCUACCCCCUGGACUGGGAUAGCGGCGGGAAACUGCCGGUAAUACCAGAUAAUGUCUGCGGACCAAAGGUGUGAUUCCGCCGGGGGAUGAGUUCGCGUCCUAUUAGCUAGUUGGUAGGGUAAUGGCCUACCAAGGCAAAGAUGGGUACCGGGUGUGAGAGCAUGGCCCGGCUCACUGGGACUGAGACACGGCCCAGACGCCUACGGGUGGCGGCAGUGGAGAAUCUUCGGCAAUGGGCGCAAGCCUGACCGAGAGACGGCGCGGGCGGGAUGAAGGCCUUCGGGUUGUAAACCGCUGUCAGAGGGGAGGAAAUGCGUGAGAGUUCUCUCUCACGUUUGACCUAUCCUCAGAGGAAGUACGGGCUAAGUUCGUGCCAGCCGCCGCGGUAAAAC
rnacentral:rRNA from 1 species